CCUACGGGAGGCAGCAGUAGGGAAUAUUGCUCAAUGGGGGAAACCCUGAAGCAGCAACGCCGCGUAGAGGAUGAAGGUUUUCGGAUUGUAAACUCCUUUUGUUAGAGAAGAUAAUGACGGUAUCUAACGAAUAAGCACCGGCUAACUCCGUGCCAGCAGCCGCGGUAAUACGGAGGGUGCAAGCGUUACUCGGAAUCACUGGUCGUAAAGAGCGCGGAGGCGGGGUAGCAAGUCAGAUGUGAAAUCCUAUGGCUUAACCAUAGAACUGCAUUUGAAACUGGUUUUCUAGAGUACGGGAGGGGGAGGUAGAAUUCUAGGUGUAGGGGUAAAAUGCGUAGAGAUCAAGAGGAAUACUCAUGGCGAAGGCGACCUGCUAGAACAUAACUGACGCUGAUGCGCGAAAGCGUGGGGAGCAAACAGGAUUAGAUACCCGGGUAGUC
rnacentral:rRNA from 1 species